GCAAAAACACCAUAUAGUCAAUUUCAGCUUGCAGUGGCAGCAUGAGAUUCCUAGUUUGACCCACAACAUGACCUGCAGACAACAGCAUGCGGCUGUGGGGUCAAGCUAUCUGCUGCUGCCUAAUGAUACCAGAGAUGAAAGGCACACAGACUUUGACAACGGGUCUGAAAACAGCUCUCUGCACAGCGGCGGUGUUUGGAUUUAACAAUGGACCUUUACAAUAGGCUCAAGCUUAUCGUCGCUAUCAUGGCUGAACAAAAGCUCUGCGAACAAAACCAGCCUUCCUGGGUCCCACCCCUGUGACGGCAGAGACGGUACCCUACUAAUACUCCUGUUGCCACCUUUCAUCUCAUGUGGAUGGAUUUAUUUCUUGUGUAUCCGGAUUUGUUUUGUUACAAAAAGGACAACCAUUUCACGUGUGUUUUUCACUAUACUCUUAGAGAGACAAACAGUAUUCCCUACCCCUCAACUAAGCAGAAGCGAUGCAUUUUUCAACUCUCGAGGAUUAAACUGGCCUCAUCCUGGCAUACAAGCGGUACUUCAAAGCACUCGUUGGAU